AAAGUUUUAAAUUUUUUUUUUUUUUUUUUAAUUUUUUUAAAUUUUUUUUUCGGUUUUUUUUUUUUAUAAUUAAAUUUUUUAAAAAUUAGGCCUAAAAGGGGUUUUUAAAAAUUUUUCGAAGGUUAAUUUGAUUUUUUCCCCUUUGGUUCCGGGGUAAAUAAAUUUAAAGAAAUUUUUUUUUUUUCCCGAAUAAAUAAAACUUUUUUUUUUUUAGUUUUUUUCGUUUCCAAGAAUUAAAUAAAAUUUAUUUAGUUUUGAAAAGGAAUUCGCUUAAAUUGAAAUUUGGGUAAUCCAGAAAAUAAAUUAAAUAAAGGUUCCCUAAUUUUUUUUUUUUAAAUUUUAGGUUUCAAAGGGUAAAAGGGGUAAUUUUUUUUUUUUUUUAUAAUUAUUUUAUGGUUUUUUUUUGUUGGUUUAAGGUCCGUCAUCCUUUAAAGUUCGUUGUUGAUUAAAAAUACUAUUUUUUUUUAUUUAUAUUUUUAUUGAUUUUCAAUUUAUAAUUUUUUUUUUUUUAAUAAUGAUUAAAUUAGUAAAUUUAAAAUUUUUUAUUUAUGAACUAGGCAAUUUUAUUUUCGCCUGUUUAUCAAAAACAUGUUUUUUAGUUUAUGUUAAAAGUUUGGCCUGCUCAGUGAUUUUUUAAAUAGCCGCAGUAUUUUAACUGUGGUUAGGUAGCAUAAUAAUUAGUCUUUUAAUUGAGGUUUGGAAUGAAUGGUUUGGCGGGAAAUUUACUUUUUUUUUUAAAAUUUUUUUGAAUUUAAAUUUUUAGUUAAAAUUUUAAAAUUUUUUAGUGGGGCGAUAAGGCCCUAUAGAUUUUAAAAUUUUUUAAUUUAAUUAUUUUUUUGUUAAUUUUUUUGUUUAAAUUAAAUAAUUUUUUAUUGGGGUGAUAGAAAAAAUUUUUAACUUUUUUUUUUUUUUACAUUUAUUUAUGAAUAAUUUGAUCUUGAAUUUUGGAUUAUAAGUUGAAGAUACCUUAGGGAUAACAGCGUAAUAGAAUUGGAGAGUUCAAAUUGAUAAUUUUGUUUGCGACCUCGAUGUUGGAUUAAAUUUAAGUUGUGGGGUAGGUUUUACAAUUUUAGGUCUGUUCGACCUUUAAAAAUUUACAUGAUCUGAGUUCAAACCGGCGUGAGCCAGGUUGGUUUCUAUCUUCUUUUAAAUUUAAUUAGUACGAAAGGACUUUUAAUUUGUAAAAUUUAUU
rnacentral:rRNA from 1 species